rnacentral:rRNA from 1 species
AAACCAACAGGGAUUGCCUUAGUAUCGGCGAGAGAAGCGGCAAGAGCUCAAAUUUGAAAUCUGGCACCUUCGGUGUCCGAGUUGUAAUUUGUAGAAGGCAACUUUGGGGUUGGCUCCUGUCUAUGUUCCUUGGAACAGGACAUCACAGAGGGUGAGAAUCCCGUGAGAUGGGGUGUCCAAUCCUUUGUAAAGUGCUUUCAAAGAGUCGAGUUGUUUGGGAUUGCAGCUCUAAGUGGGUGGUAAAUUCCAUCUAAAGCUAAAUAUUGGCGAGAGACCGAUAGCGAACAAGUACAGUGAUGGAAAGAUGAAAAGAACUUUGAAAAGAGAGUGAAAUAGUACGUGAAAUUGUUGAAAGGGAAGGGUUUGAGAUCAUACUUGGUAUUUUGCGGCCCUAUCCUUCUUGGGUAGGAUCACCGCAGUUUAUCGGGCCAGCAUCGGUUUGGACUGUAGGAUAAUGGCAUGGGAAUGUGGCUUCGCUUCGGUGGAGUGUUAUAGCCCUUGUUGAUACUGCAAGUCUAGACCGAGGACCGCGUCUUUGACAAGGAUGUUGGCACAGUGAUCUUAAGCUAC